rnacentral:rRNA from 1 species
GAUGAACGCUAGCGGGAGGCUUAACACAUGCAAGUCGAGGGGCAGCACGAGGUAGCAAUACUUUGGUGGCGACCGGCGCACGGGUGAGUAACGCGUAUGUAACCUACCCUUUACAGGGGAUAGCCCGGAGAAAUUCGGAUUAAUACCCCAUAAUAAUAUUGGAAGGCAUCUUUUGAUAUUUAAAGCUUCGGCGGUAUAGGAUGGGCAUGCGUGACAUUAGCUAGUUGGUAGGGUAACGGCCUACCAAGGCUACGAUGUCUAGGGGUCCUGAGAGGGUGAUCCCCCACACUGGUACUGAGACACGGACCAGACACCUACGGGUGGCAG